GAGAGGGUGGGGUGUUCUUUUUCUUUUUCUCGUCCUGACAGCGCCAGCCGAAGCGAACUUGAACUGACAAAGCGCGAGGAAACUUCUUUGGAAAGUUUAUGUAGCGCGAUUAGUGGCGGAGACGCAGGACUAGCAGGCGGGCAGUGCCGGGAUGGGCGUGGGUCAGCAGACUGGGUGUGAUUGAGGGUGGGAGUGGUGGCCAGGUGCUGAGGCCGUUAAAGAUCUAGGUUCCUCAGGAUGAAGCCCUCUAACGGCCCCAGAGGCUUCGAGGGACCCGGUGACUGUGGGGUGUGCGUUUCUUUAGGAGUCAGACACGGUGGGGCCAAGAUUUCGGCGUGGGUUGUGUUGGUGCCGAAAGCUCUAGCCAGCGACCGAUCAGGAGGCAGCGGGAAAGCAGGGGAUUAGAUCUGCCUGUCCCGGGGCCGGGACCCCAGCUUCCCUGUCCUGCGAGGCCGCGCACGCCAGGGAUAUUUGGAGCGACGUGCGCGGUUUAGUGUCGCGGUUCGGGCUCUCCGCGCACCACGUGCUUUCAUGGCCUCGGGCAGAGACCCUAGGGCGAGCACCUCCGCAGGGGAGAGGGACCACGCAGUGAGGACUUGGCUUCCGCGAAGCCUGAGCCCGCGUAUCCUUGCUGGGGGCAGGACGAAGUGGCCCAAACCAACUUCUCCCUGCGCCCUGGAAAGGACGCGUGAUGCUCCUGCAAGAGCGCAAGGCCGCCGCGGCCCAUUCCACACUUGGCCUGGCACUGGGCUUUUCCUCACUGCGCACCAGGGAAAGGUACAAUUCAAUAUAACAACCAAGUGCAACGCAUUCUUUUGGUUUUUUGCUCUGAAGUCUAAGGCAUUUCGAAGAGGUAGCUCCCAAUUUCCAAAUAAAUACCUACCGUUCUAAAGCCCACUUGGGUUCCGGUGACUACUGGAAAAAAAGAGAGAUAGAGGUAGAGAUAAAAAAGGGAGAGAGAGAGAGCGAGAGAGGAAAGAAGGAAAAGAAGGGAAGGAAGGAAGGAAGCCAAAAUCGGAUGUGAGUUUACAGCCUGAAGCAGCUUGUUUCGGCUCGCUGAGCGCCAUUUCGAACCGCGUAGCUCGAGCUAUUUCUGGAGUAGUUGGAGAGUGGAGAUAAAAUACGUUUUAUUUAAAGUGACUUCUCUCCCAGAACGCGACUUUCGUCCUCCGUUCACUCGGUGUCCGUGUCACCGCUCCGGUUUAGCGCAACCCGGGCGACGCAGUCUUUGGUAUAUAAACCAGGCCAGCUCCCUGGUGAAACUACCUGUUGGGGGGAUUCCGCAGCCUAGAUAUUCGUCCCUCUUUUCCCCUCCGCAAUCCUGACAGCGGUGGGACGACUCUAGGGAUGGUUGGAGAAGGGAAAGGGUAGAAGAGCCGUGAGAGGCGGAGAAAGUCAGCUGUGCCUGGCAGGUCCCAGCGAUUUGCGCCCGCGCCUUUCUGCGCUUCUGCUGGUUCUUCCGGAACCAGAAGCAGCCCCUCGUACUCUGUGCGGGGCCCCUGGCUACAGGGAUGGGUCCAAACUUGGCACAAUUCUCCAAGUUCGGAAACUACGAAAAGGUUCCAUUUAUGCUUGCUCUUCGGUGUGUGUCUAAGUUACACACACACACACACACACACACACACACAGCCUCCUAGCGGCUUCCUCGGCGCCCGCCCCCCACCCUGCAUUCCAACACCCAACAAUUUUCUCUGCACCGAAAUUCACUUUAUUACUUCAAGAAAUUCGGAAAACGCCGCUGAGGCUUGGACGCCUGGCAACCCAGGAGAUGUCUAAAGCUCCCGCACGAGCUGCUUAGGGGAAAUCACCCUGUUAUUGUGAGCAAACAGAAUCUAUUUUUAAAAUUAACUGGAUGAGGCAGCGGAGUUAGCAAGGAAAAUUUGAGCAGGUUUCGUUGGAGGAAUUUUCGGAAGCUGGGGGACUGGGAGAUUUUAGUCUCUCAAGCAAACCUGUGGGAAGACAGUUUGGGCCGGGCCCUGGGACUGCACGCACUGCCUGGGUGUGGUGCGCGCAUUUAACAGCCCCUUUUCAGGCAAACUCUCUAGCAGACCCUCCUCGACAUUAAAUUUGGGGUUGUGGAGGCUCUGGCUGGGCUUAGCCGAAAAGUUUGCCCCCCAGACUCGGUAGGUACUCGCUGUUGUGUCUCCGAUGCGGGUUUCAGCAUUUCCCGUGCCCUUCGGGAGCGCGGUAUUUCAGAGACCCUACUAGGUGGGGGGCCCGUUCGGGAGUCCGAGGGGACGGGAAGACUUUCUCUGUGACUAGGGAUUUAGUGGUGCUUUAUUUCUCACGGCAUGCGCUCCGGUUAACCAAGGUCACAAAACACCGGUUGGAAAACGAAAUAGGGGCAAUUACUCAAUUGCGAAAUAGGAGAGGGUUACCCCUCGUCUUGUUCGGGAAACUCCAUUUGACAGCGAGGACGGCGGGGCGACGCGGAUGAACGAGAAUUUGUUAACGAGAAUUAAUUGCACAAAGAUGAAGGUCGAGAGAACCAAAAGACGGCUCAAAAUGAAUCCAGUGCCACAGUCCUUUUUAAUGAUCUUGGAGCACGGACCCAAGGAUAAUAAACAAUGCUGCUUAGUAAGAAACAAACGGGAGCGGGAAAGAACCACGCGGAAAAGCAAGCACAGAGAUAUUUUAAUAAGUGGCCAUUCAGGAGUGCCUUUGCAAGAGACUUAAAAUGUACAACGAAAUUUUCAGCUGUCUCUGGCUUUUUCUGCCUACCCUUGAAGACAACUUCUCCUAGGAAGGUGUUCUGCCUGAUGAAUGCAAACUUGAGAGCCCACCUCUGCAAAGACUGUGGCUGAAUUUAGCAGGAAUGUUGGACGGAUACACUGGAGAGACAUGCAAGGGAGAAAAUGAAACUCUCCACUGGCUUCAGACAGGGAAGCUAAUAUUUUUCCCCCUUUUUCCUCGCAGGUUUCCAACCUCCUUAGUUUCCUAGGGUUGCCAUAACAACGUACCACACACUGGGUGGCUUAAAACAACAGAAGUUUACUGUCUCACGGUUCUGGAGUCUAGAAGUCCAAGUUAAGGCUCAGGCAGGGCCAGGCUUCCUCUGAGCCUGUAGGUUCUGGUGUGACUUGCUGGAAAUCCUUUGUGUUCUUUGGCUUGUGACGUAACUCAUCCUCUGCCUCUGUAACAUGGCUGCCUUAUCUGUCUGUCUACAUCUAAAUGUCCUCUCUUUAUAAGAACAUCAGUUGUAUUGGAAAUAGGGCCCACCUUAAUCCAGUUUGGCUUCAUGUUAACUAACAACAUCUUCAGAGAUCCUAUUUCCAAAUAGGAUCACAUUCACCAGAUGUGGGGUUAGGAUUUGAACUUACCAUUUUGGGGGACACAAUUCAGGACUCUGAUUUUCAGUUUGAGUAAGGUUUUAUUUUUAUUAUUCUUUAUACUUUCCAUAUAGAGGGUCCCUGAAGGAACAUUGUGAUGGGCUAGCAUUUCUACCAAUAGGUACAAAGACCAAUUUGGGAAUAUACUCUAUCUAAGGGGCUGUAUGACUGGGUUUCCAUUGAAAUUUGGGACCGUCUCUGGUACAGUCAGGCGAUUUUAAAUAGGAUCAGCUCUGGGAAGAAUUACACAGAUGCUGCAAAUUUUCCUCUCCUAAACCUGCAGAUCUAGUCUCAAGGGUAAGCAAUCAGUUUUACCAGACAGCAAUUUCUUUCCCAUUGAACUUGAACUCUUAUCUCUGGGUAAUGGGUAUAAGGUUAAAAACAACUUUUUUUUAGGAACUUAAUUAUUGUCCAGCGAGGGGUAACUUAAAUAGCCCCUUAGUUUUACAGAGGGAGCCUGUUGGCAGUGAGGUCAGGGCUUAGGUGAUGCAGAGGGAAUUUAGUCACACCUGGGUGAUUAUUUGUGGCCCUGGAGUCAGGUCCACUUUUCUCCUGGCAAACAGCACCCUCCUCCUCCUCUACCAAAAAUGGUAGGCCUGGUGGUAGUGACCCAGUAUUUGAGAGGUUCGAAAUUCUACAUGUGUCAUUUCUGAUUUAGGUCCUAAAUGACUAUUCUUUCAAUCACGUGGAAAACAAGGAACCUAGCUAAGACAUUUAAAUUAAAAGACCAUUGUUUAAAAGAAAUGAAAAGUAUACCCACACACAGAAAAAACUUAUAUAUGACUGUUCACAGAAGCAUUAUUCAUCAUGGCCAAAAUGUGGAAAAAAACCCAAAUGUCCAUCAACUAAUAAAUGGAUAAAAAUAUGGUUUAUUCAUAUAAUGGAAUAGUAUUGUGCAAAAAAAAGAUGAAAUAUUGAUACAAGAUACAACAUGGAUGAACCUUGAAAUCAUGCUAAAUGAAAGCCAGACACAGAGGAUCAUAAAUUGUAUGAUUCCAUUUAUAUGAAAUAUCCAGAAUACACAAAUCCUUAGAGACAGCAAAUAGACUGGUUGUGCCUGGGGCUAGGGUUAAGAGUGAGGGCAUUGGGGGAGAAUGGCUAAGGAGUAUAGGGUUUCUUCUUGAGGGUGAUAAAAAUGUUUUUAAAUUAAUUGUGGUGAUGCUUGCAUAACUCUGUAAAUGUGCUAAAUACCAUUGAACUGUACACUUUAAAUGGGUGAAUUGUAUGGUAUGUGAAUUAUAUCUCAAUAAAGCUGUUAAGGUUGUGUUAAAACAAAUUUAUAUGAACUAAAUAAAAUGAGAUUAACAUAA